rnacentral:rRNA from 1 species
GACGUAGGGGGCGAGCGUUGUCCGGAUUUAUUGGGCGUAAAGAGCUCGUAGGCGGCUCAGUAAGUCAGAUGUGAAAACUCAGGGCUCAACCCGGAGACGCCAUCUGAUACUGCUGUGGCUUGAGUCUGGUAGGGGAUCACGGAAUUCCUGGUGUAGCGGUGAAAUGCGCAGAUAUCAGGAGGAACACCGAUGGCGAAGGCAGUGAUCUGGGCCAGUACUGACGCUGAGGAGCGAAAGCGUGGGUAGCAAACAGG